CUACGGGGUGCUGCAGUGAGGAAUAUUGCACAAUGGGGGAAACCCUGAUGCAGCAACGCCGCGUGGAGGAUGACGCAUUUCGGUGUGUAAACUCCUUUUAUAUGUCAAGAAAAUGACGGUAGCAUAUGAAUAAGCACCGGCUAACUCCGUGCCAGCAGCCGCGGUAAUACGGAGGGUGCAAGCGUUACUCGGAAUCACUGGGCGUAAAGGACGCGUAGGUGGGUUGGAAAGUCAGGUGUGAAAUCCUACAGCUUAACUGUAGAACUGCACUUGAAACUUCUAAUCUAGAGUAUGGGAGGGGGAGAUGGAAUUAGUGGUGUAGGGGUAAAAUCCGUAGAUAUCACUAGGAAUACCUAAAGCGAAGGCGAUCUCCUGGAACAUUACUGACGCUAAGGCGUGAAAGCGUGGGGAGCAAACAGGAUUAGAUACCCCGGUAGUC
rnacentral:rRNA from 1 species